CUUUGAGAGUUUGAUCCUAGCUCAGGGUGAACGCUGGCGGCAUGUCUUAGGCAUGCAAGUCGAACGGUCGUGCCGCAAGGCACGGUAGUGGCAAACGGGAGCAUAACACACUGGUAAUCUACCCUUAAGUCGGGUAUAACCUGCCGAAAGGCGGACUAAUUCCCGAUGGUCUCCGAUGACUCAUGUUGUCGGAGUAAAGGUCGCAAGAUCACUUAAGGAGGAGCCUAUGUCCCAUCAGCUAGUUGGUAGGGUAAUGGCCUACCAAGGCAACGACGGGUAGCGGGUGUGAGAGCAUGACCCGCCUCACUGGGACUGAGACACUGCCCAGACUCCUACGGGAGGCUGCAGUCAAGAAUAUUCCGCAAUGGCCGAAAGGCUGACGGAGCAAUGCCGCGUGCCGGAAGACGCCCCUUGGGGUGUAAACGGCUUUUGCUGGGGAACAAUUCCGCUUUCGGGCGGAACGAGCGUACCCAGAGAAUAAGAGGCUGCUAACUCUGUGCCAGCAGCAGCGGUAAUACAGAGGCCUCAAGCGUUACCCGGAUUUACUGGGCGUAAAGCGUCCGCAGGCGGUCUCUUACGUUUCCGUUUAAAUUCCGAUGCCUAACAUCGGAGCCGGCGGGAAUACGGAGAGACUUGAGGCCGGGAGAGGCGAGUGGAACGACUGGUGUAGGGGUAAAAUCCGUUAAUAUCAGUCGGAACACCAAAUGCGAAGGCAGCUCGCUAGAACGGUCCUGACGCUCAUGGACGAAAGCGUGGGGAGAGAACGGGAUUAGAUACCCCGGUAUUCCACGCCCUAAACGAUGGAUACUAGGGAUUGGAAGUAUCGACCCUUCCAGUCUCGCUUACAAACUAGCUAACGCGUUAAGUAUCCCGCCUGGGAAGUACGGUCGCAAGACUAAAACUCAAAGGAAUUGACGGGGACUCGCACAAGCGGUGGAGCAUGUGGUUUAAUUCGACGAUAAGCGUGGAACCUUACCAGGGCUUGACAUCUAUCUGCACGUCAGGGUAAUGCCUGACUCCUUCGAGGGUGAUAGACAGGUGCUGCAUGGUUGUCGUCAGAUCGUGCCGUGAGGUGUACCCUUAAUUGGGGAAACGAUCGCAACCCCUGCCCUAUGUUACAUUGUCAUAGGGGACUGCCCAGCCCUUUGGGCGUUGCGCUUAAACGCGUGAAUGAACAGAGGGCUGGGAGGAAGGCGGGGACGACGUCAAAUCAGCAUGGCCUUUAUGCCCUGGGCUACACACGUGCUACAAUGGCUGGUACAAUGGGAUGCAAGGCCGUAAGGCGGAGCCAACCCCUAAAACCAGUCGUAGUUCGGAUUGAGGGCUGCAACUCGCCCUCAUGAAGCCGGAAUCGCUAGUAACCGCGUAUCAGCCACGGCGCGGUGAAUACGUUAUCGAGUCUUGUACACACCGCCCGUCACACCAGGAAAGCUGGCAGUACUCGAACUUCGAUGUAUGUCGUUGGAAGGUAAGGUCAGUGAUCAGGGUGAAGUCGUAACAAGGCACCCGUAGCGGAAGCUGUGGGUGAAUCACCUCCUUUCUA
rnacentral:rRNA from 4 species